rnacentral:pre_miRNA from 1 species
AAUAUAUUCUUACCAAAUUUCAAGUUCAAACUCAACUUUAUUUGUGAGAAUUUUUGUUUCUCUCAAAUGAAGUUAAGUUUGGACUUAAAUUUGGUAACAAU